GCCCGUUUGGCUUAGUGGUACAGCGUCUCACUCGUACACAUGCGAUAUGAGAAGAUCCUCGGUUCGAUUCCGAGAAUGGGCA